rnacentral:piRNA from 1 species
UAGCCAGAAAGCAGAGAGUCCUACCAGU